CCUUGUUUUUGGAGUAAAACAUGGUGGAAGCUGAAUUAGUGAGGAUGACUCCUGCCAUCUCUAAACUCCUCACACAUCUUUACCUGCACAUACUUGAAUUUUCUGACCCAAGAGCCGAUGUAACUAUAAAGACACUUUCUCUACUAACUUAUUAUAGUAAUCCACAGCUGUCACUGCAUUGGUGGUGGACCUGCCAAACAACAAUGCCUGCUGUGAUGACAAUGCCACCAUCCCUCCUCUCUCCUGCAGGAAACCCUAACGCACUUCAGCUGCUGCUUCCUUCUCCACCGCUACACACCCGAAAAUAAAAAACAAACACAUGACUACAAU
ensembl:lncRNA